GGGUGACGGAGCGACGCCGCGUGGGUGAAGAAGGCCUUCGGGUUGUAAAACCCUGUCAGGAGUUAUGAAAUGUAAGUGCGCUAAUAUCGUGCUUAUUUGACAAAGGCUUCAAAGGAAGCCACGGCUAACUCUGUCCCCGCAGCCGCGGUAAUACAGAGGUGGCGAGCGUUGUUCGGAAUUAUUGGGCGUAAAGAGCACGUAGGUGGGUUUGCAAGUCAGAUGUGAAAGCCUUCUGUUCAACGGAAGAAUUGCAUCUGAAACUGCUGAUCUUGAGUAUAGGAGGGGAGAAUGGAACUUCUGGUGGAGCGGUGAAAUGCGUAGAUAUCAGAAGAAACGCCGGCGGCGAAAGCGAUUCUCUGGCCUAUUACCGACACUGAGUGUGCGAAAGCUAGGGGAGCAAACGGGAUUAGAUACCCCGGUAGUCCUAGCCGUAAACGAUGGGCACUAAGUAGAGG
rnacentral:rRNA from 1 species